CACUAUAUUAAUGUAUCACCUAAAACCAAAAAGCUGUAACUUUUUUGCAAGAGUUAACUUUGAAUCCACAUUUCUUUUUGUAGAACUUUCAAAAAAUGGAAUGAUAGCGGUUUCCACAACAGCGGAAAACAAAUUUUCUAUUAUAUUCGACAGAUUUUUGCCAGUUUGUUUAAAAUCGGGAUACUGUUAAGUUAAUAAGAAUGAGUUAUACAGAAAACAUAUAAUUAGAUAUCCAACUUACAGAAUUCACUUCCAAUAAAUAAACUUGAGACUCACAAUCAACCAAAAAAUCUACCCCAAAUAUUUCGAAGCAAUUUUCUAAAGGCUAAAGUUGUUAGUAGAGCAAUUACAAUGAAACAAUCACAAUAUUAAGAUACCUGGAAAUGAAUCCCUUGUGUGGUUGCUGCAGCCUCAAAAACAUCUCCUAUAAUAUUCAGGAUAGAUUUAAAUAUAUCAUCUUUAUUUUCAAUGGAAGUAUUCCAAAAAUCUCUUAUAGAUGAUUGUUCAACGUUGUCGCCUUGUAAGCAGGUAUUGCUUAAAUGAGAAAACAAAAGAUCAGGAUCAGGAGUGGGCUUUUUAUAUUUAUCUCUUGCAAGUAGACACAGCAUUUCAUUGAACAAAUAUACAGACAAAGCACCAGUAGCUAAGACAUAUGCACGAAUAUGGAACUUUCGGUGAUCUAACAAUAGAGGUUUAGAUAUAUAUUUCUGAACUAAAAAGUUCCUAAUUUGGCUAAUUACAAUCUUGUUAUUAAAAGCGACAGUUAUAUCACCUUUUUCUUCCAAUCCAGCUUCUUCAGAUUCACUUUCCUCAUCAUCAAAGCUAUCAAAUAUAGCUUGCAGUUCUUCAAUUGUAGAAAAUAAACGGAUACCUUGAGCGCGAUCACACAUACUGGGUUUCAGUAUAUACCAUUGUUUUUCUGAAAUGUUCUUAGUAGCAUUUUCCUCCAGUUCUUGACGAAGUUCAUAAGCUUCCAUUAAUGAAUCAUCAAGGAAUUCUGCAUAGUCUAAUUCCAAAGAAUAGGCUUCAGGCACCGAUUUAGACAAUAUUGAAUCCGGAUGUUUUGCCAGGUACGUUAUGACAGUACGCCAGAGGUAUUCUUUCCUGAUUAAAGCCUUGCGAAUCACAUAAGAGCAGCAAAGUUUUGUUUUUGGGUUCUUGUAAACUUCGUCAAAGUCGAUAUCUUCGUACUGUGCCCAUUGAAAAUUUGCUUCCUUCGCUGAAUUUGUAAAAGUUAACUCUUUUCCACUAUUCUUCAACGCAGAUAUGAUUUUUGGCUCUGCAUACUCGUCACGAUAGUUGACAUAAACUUUUAUGUCUUUCUUAGUAGAAGACAUGUACGAAACUACCUUCUUUGGACUUUCUAGAGUUGGGGUAGGAGGAUACAACGAAUAUUAAAAAAUAUAAAAGCGCAAUUCUUUAGUAGGGUGAAAGAAAAAAUAGAUCAUAAAUACAUACUAUACUAAAAAUUACAAAUAACAUUAAAAUUGGAUAGCUUCAUUAAGAUUUGUCAUAUUGGGAAUAAGAAGGGCUUUAACGAUAACAUCUAUUGACAAUAUAACUAAUACUUUAUAGUUUGGGCUCUGAAAUGAAUAACUCU